rnacentral:lncRNA from 1 species
AAAAUAUACUAAAUCCGGCCCGACCCGGCCCGACCCUCUAAUUCUUAUCACGCCAUUCCUUUCAAAAUUAAGCUUCAAGCAUUAAUAAAUCAGAACCUGCAGUCAUGAACGAAGGUUUAUGGCUUCAAGCAUUAAUAAAUCAGAACUAUUCAAAGUGAGAUAAUUUAAUGAUAACCACUCAUGUCUGCUAAAGGACAAGGUGUAUGAGCAACGACAAGUUAGUAGCAGCCUUAUAAGUGGUGUCACACCUCCUUUUUUACACUACACCCCGGCGAAGGGCGUAGAUAAGUGAGUUUUUCCAAUUUAAGGACAAUCGAAGAGGGAUUUAUUUAUUUAAGAGAUUUCAGAGUCGCCACUUGGGAUAAUUUAUGGUGUCACAAGUCACCAGUUUAAAAUCCCGAAUCGAGGAAGAUUUGACUCUGCUAACCGUCUGCGAACCAGAAAUCCGGGUAAGGAACUUUAUUAACCCGGGAGAAGGUGUUAGGCAUUCCCGAGUUCCGUGGUUCUAGCAUGGUCGCUCAACUGUUAUAUUCGACUUAAUUAUCUGAUUUUAAUGCAUUUUUGUGCCUAUGUACAAAGUUUGACUUUUAAAACUGUUUCAAUUUUUAAGAGUAUUACAACGUCGUUAAAACACGCGUCUCGGACUAUGUCACAUAAAUGCACUCAUAGUUUUGACAUAUUUCAACAUCGUUGGGAUUUGGGUCACAUAAAUGUGCACCGUAUUUAGGAAAGUGAAUUAUUUAACUAGCGCGACUAAAAUGAAUAUGUGUUUGCAAUUUGCGAGGGCCAUAGAAUUUCAACUAAACGGCGCACCUCGGAUUCUAAGGUUCAAUACAAGAUUAAUAAAAAUGAGGGUCAUGCAAUUGGGCUUUUGUUCGACAUGGAACACCUCAAUUUAUUCUAAGGGUUAUCCUCGACUAAAGCAAACUACGGCCAUUCUUGAUUGGACGCUGUGAAACUGAUGGAAAGAUUCGAAUUUACCACUACUUUAAUCUCAAAGUGCCAUAACAAAAUAAUAUAUUUCCAUUACCAUACAUAGCAUCUUCACACCUAUUUGAACAUGCCUUCCUUUAAUUAGUUGUCAAUGAGAACGAGUAAAUUGAAACAGGAUAUCAACCAUUGCAGUAAACCAACUAUAGGAACAAAUCAAUUCAGAAAGAAGUAUCAAUUCAAAUCUUCAUGUUCUAGUAUCACAACAGAAGAGGAGAAUGAUAUGACUCGAGAAUGCAGGGACGUUUCUUUGACAUGAUGUUAGCAAGAAUCUAUGUGUGGGGACUGGACAGAGGUCAACUUAUAAAGCAUGAAGGGAAGUUCUCUGUGUAGCAUCAGAAACACCAUUUCGUAUGCAAGAGAGUUGUGUGCAGUUAACUAAAUGGCAUUUGGACAUAACUGUAUGAACUUGGAGAAAAUUGGGACAAAGUAUUAAUUUGGUCAUUAUGCGAUUCAGCACUUUGAAAAUUGAGAUCUCACAAAUGCCAAAGAACUCAGAACAAGGCAGGUUGUUGGUUUUCAUACCACUGAAAGAGUCGGAACUUCUGAAGCUGUUGGGAUAGGCUCUAAACAGGGAAUUUUGUACUAUAAUUAAAGACUAUCACAUUACUUACUAUUAUCCUACAGUCACAUUUAAACCUGAAAUCAGCCAAGCAAAACAGGGGCCUGCUAGGGAAAUAAGACACAAAGGCACAAUAGCUUGGCUGGCAAAACACAAACUGACUUCAAAGAAAACAAAGCCUUACUAUUACACAAUUCUCAUGUUGAAUCCUGUGCAAAAGGUUCACUGACAGAAAUGGCAUGCUAAGAAAACAUGAACAAUCCCUGAUCCUCUCAACCAUAGUAAACCACAAAGAACAAAUAUUGUCAAGAAUAACUUCAACUACUUCAAACCAGCAAAUGCAUUAAAAUAGUCGUGAAACCAAAGCACAGGGCACUUUAGUGAUCAUGACUUGUUUAGCCGUCUUACGACUAACUAACUCAAGUCAAACAUGUCGAAACUAAGCAUUUAGCAUGACCAGACUAGUCAGAGCAUCAGAAUAUUUCGUGGCUAGUAAAACACACAAGGAACUCAUUUUGUGAAGUGGCUAAUCCUUAACCAAAAGAAUCAGGAAGCCAUGGAUCAACAAAGCUCUUAAAAUCAAUUGCUCUGGCUAAAAUGCAUCAAACACAUUCAACAGAUUCAAUGAUCCUAACAUAUUUGCAACUACACGAAUCAUUUCAACUUAAACACUCAUUAAUGUAGAGUCAAACUCAUUCAACAGAUUCAAUGAUCCUAACAUAUUUGCAACCACAAGCAUCAUUCCAACUUAAACACUCAUUAAUGUAGAUAAAAUUCCAAUAAAUAUCAUGGUUAUGAGUUAAUGAUCAAUAAGAGCAGGGUAGUUAGGCUCAUAAUCCUGUUUGAAAUUUGGUAGGCUAUUUUGACUUCCUAAGGACGUGCGAUUGCUCUUUCGAUAGCACAAGAAUCCAAGGAAACUCAUGAGAAUAAGCAUCACAGGUUCAUGCUUGUUUAUCAAUCACAAAGCUGACACAAUCAUUCAUUUGAAAAUGACGAAAUCUCAACUCAAAUGAAAACUCGACACCAAAAUAACAAUUAAAGCAUAAAAAGCAUAUGACUAAUAAAAAGCAACUCUUACUGAUUGAACGUAUUCAAACACAUCAUACAAUUGAGAAGAAAUUCACCGGCAAGAAGUUCGAUCACAUCACAAAACAUACCACUCUAGACAAAAUCUCAUAGCUCAAGAACACUUAAACAAAAACAGAGUCGCAUAGGAGAAAAGGAAAAAUAUCGAACCUGAAAUCGCAAAUUUCUUUUAUAAUAGAAUCAAAGGCGAUUACAAAGCUUCAACUCCAAAAUUUCAACAACAAUACAAUGGCAAUUCAAAACUCGAAGAACAGCAAACCAACAGCAGACUUGGCGAAUCCAACUUCCAGAGCUUUAGUUGAACUUCAUUUUAUCAAACCAAAAAUUCGAAAAUGAAACAGAGGACUUCACUUAAUUAGACCUUGUUCUUGAGAACUCUUCUUUUUUUUCUGAAAAAUGCCAAACCAAACGAGAGAAAUCUCCAAGAAAUUCGAAGAGCCCUAGAACCCUUUUUCCCUCUUGAUUUCCCCGAAAAUCCUCUAUCAAUCAGGCACGAACCUGAUGAAUGAAGGGUUGGGAUCAAUUGAAAUCGAUCCCACACUCCACAUUCAUCCAGCAUAUACCUUCUAGAGGCUUCUAACACGUGAGAAAGGGAUGAGGACGAGAGUAACUGUCAGAGAUCGUUAAAAAUAUGGUGACGAGGAGAGAGGGGGAAUGCGUGGGAUGAAUUUUGGGCUUCACUCGCCUGAGCUUGGGCGUUUGAAUGCGGUUGAGAUGAAGAAGAAAAUGAACAGCGCGUCUGAUUUAGGGAUUUUGUGUGUUGGC